GAUCGUCAAUUAAGGUCCCAAAGAUAUAGCUAAGUGGAAAACGAUGUGAUUUUGCGUAAACAACCAGGAUGUUGGCUCAGAAGCAGCCAUACAUUUAAAGAGUGCGUAACAGCUCACUGGUCGAGUGAAGUUGCGCGGAAAAUUACCGGGGCUAAGCUAUACACCGAAAUUGCGGAUUUACAUUUGAAAUAAAAUGUAAGUGGUAGAGGAGCAUUCUGUUGUAGGACGAAGCAUGAUCGAGAGGACAUGUGGACGAAGCAGAAGAGAGAAUGCUGGAAUAAGUAGCGAGAGCAAGGUGAGAAUCCUUGCCGUCGAAAAUCUAAGGUUUCCUGGGGAAGGUUCGUCCGCCCAGGGUAAGUCGGGACCUAAGGAGAGGCCGAAAGGCGUAUCCGAUGGACAGCAGGUUGAAAUUCCUGCACUACAGAUAUACUUAAAAGAUGCAAGGGACGCAGGAGUGGAAGAUAAGCGAGGAAGAGGAAAAACUCGUAUCGCAAGAUAUAGUGAAAAUUAUAAGUAACGAAUUAUCAAGAAACACACUGACGAGAAAAGCUUGUAGAUAUUGUAUAAAAGUACCCGUACCGCAAACCGACACAGGUAGAUGAGGAGAGGAUCCUAAGACGAACGGGAGAAGCAUUGUUAAGGAACUCGGCAAAUUGACCCCGUAACUUCGGAAUAAGGGGUGCCUAUGUAAAAGUAGGCCGCAGAGAAUAGGCCCAAGCAACUGUUUAACAAAAACACAGGUUUCUGCUAAAUCGAAAGAUGAAGUAUAGGAGCUGACGCCUGCCCAGUGCUGGAAGGUCAAGGGGAAGAGUUAGGGUUAAACCGAAGCUUAGAACCAAAGCCCCAGUGAACGGCGGCCGUAACUAUAACGGUCCUAAGGUAGCGAAAUUCCUUGUCAGGUAAGUUCUGACCCGCACGAAAGGCGUAAUGAUUUGGGCACUGUCUCGACAAUGUACCCGGCGAAAUUGUAGUACUAGUGAAGAUGCUAGUUACCUGCGACAAGACAGAAAGACCCCAUGGAGCUUUACUGCAGCUUGAUACUGGGUUUUGAUAAUUUAUGUACAGGAUAGGUGGGAGACUAUGAAAGUUAGGCGUCAGCUUAACUGGAGUCAUCCUUGGGAUACCACCCUUAAGUUGUUGAAAUUCUAACUAGUGAUCGUAAACCGGUCAGAGGACAAUGUCAGGCGGGCAGUUUGACUGGGGCGGUCGCCUCCUAAAGAGUAACGGAGGCGCCCAAAGGUUUCCUCAGCGCGGACAGAAAUCGCGCAAAAGAGUGUAAAGGCAGAAGGAAGCUUAACUGAGAGACAGACAUGUCGACCAGAUACGAAAGUAGGGCUUAGUGAUCCGGCGGUAGUGAAUGGAAAUGCCGUCGCUCAACGGACAAAAGUUACCCUGGGGAUAACAGGCUUAUCUCCCCCAAGAGUUCACAUCGACGGGGAGGUUUGGCAC
rnacentral:rRNA from 1 species